rnacentral:rRNA from 1 species
CGACGGUUGUCCCGGUUUAAGCAUGUAGGCUGGUUAUCCAGGCAAAUCCGGAUAAUCAAGGCUGAGGUGUGAUGACGAGGCACUACGGUGCUGAAGUAACAAAUGCCCUGCUUCCAGGAAAAGCCUCUAAGCAUCAGGUAACAUCAAAUCGUACCCCAAACCGACACAGGUGGUCAGGUAGAGAAUACCAAGGCGCUUGAGAGAACUCGGGUGAAGGAACUAGGCAAAAUGGUGCCGUAACUUCGGGAGAAGGCACGCUGGUGUGUAGGUGAAGUCCCUGCGGAUGGAGCUGAGACCAGUCGAAGAUACCAGCUGGCUG